rnacentral:lncRNA from 1 species
CCACUUUUGGGGUCCCCCAGUGCCACUGAAGACCCCAACCUUCACUAUUGAGACCCCCAGUGUCAUGUUUGGGGUCCUCCCCCCAUUCUGGGGGUCCCAGACCCCACUUUUGGGGUCCCCCACUGUCACUGAAGACCCCAGCCAUCACUAUUGAGACCCCCAGUGUCAUUUUUGGGGUCCUCCCCUCUCUUUGGGGGUCCCAGACCCCACUUUGGGGUCCCCCACUGUUAAUGAAGACCCCAGCCAUCACUAUUGAGACCCCCAGUGUCAUUUUUGGGAUCUUCCCCCCAUUCUGGGGGUCCCAGCCCCCACUUUUGGGGUCCCUCACUGUCACUGAAGACCCCAACCAUCACUGUUGAGACCCCCGAGUGUCAUUUUUGGGGUCCUCCCCCAAUUUUGGGGGUCGCAGAGCCCACUUUUGGGGUCCCCCACUGUCACUGAAGACCCCAACCAUCACUGUUGAGACCCCCGAGUGUCAUUUUUGGGGUCCUCCCCCAAUUUUGGGGGUCGCAGAGCCCACUUUUGGGGUCCCCCACUGUCACUGAAGACCCCAACCAUCACUGUUGAGACCCCCGAGUGUCAUUUUUGGGGUCCUCCCCCAAUUUUGGGGGUCGCAGAGCCCACUUUUGGGGUCCCCCACUGUCACUGAAGACCCCAACCAUCACUGUUGAGACCCCCGAGUGUCAUUUUUGGGAUCUUCCCCCCGUUCUGGGGGUCCCAGCCCCCACUUUUGGGGUCCCUCACUGUCACUGAAGACCCCAACCAUCACUGUUGAGACCCCCAGUGUCAUUUUUGGGGUCUUCCCCCCAUUCUGGGGGUCCCGCAGUGUCUCUGAGGCCCCCAACCAUCCCUAUUGAGACCCCCCAGAGUCACUUUUGGGUUCCUCCCCCCAUUCUGGGGGUCCCAGCCCUCAUUUUUGGGGCCGUUUGCUGUCACUGACCCAAUUUUUGGGGCCCCCCCCUGCCAUUUCCCCCCCAGGAAUCGGCACAGACUGCUGUGUGAUCCCGCUGCGCCACGGGGGUCUCUCCCUGGUGCAGACCACCGACUUCUUCUACCCUCUGGUGGACGACCCCUAUAUGAUGGGCCGCAUCGCCUGCGCCAACGUUCUGAGCGAUGCCCUCCAGAUCCCCAAUUCUCCCCCCAAAAGACCCCCAAACCCUCCCCACAUCACACCCAGCCCCUCUCCAUGGAGACAAAACCGCCCAAAAGCCCCAAAUUGACCCCAAAA